UCCCCGGUCCCUAAUAGUCUUUGCUCUGCGAAAGAAGCAGAGAUCACAGAUAACUUUACUGAUGUCAACUAGAUUGAAACAUUAAUUCUAUCGAUUUAUGGCACUAUUUUGGUGAGCAAGGGUUUAUUUAGUCUUCUAAGGCAACAUAUGUAAUGAGAGAAGAGAAGCAGCAUGUAUCUAAUUAUAGACUAGUUAACUAAUAGCCUACCAAAUGUUGUAAAUUAUCAGAUGAAACAGCAUGUCUAAAUCAGGCAAAAGAAAUCCUGCCACCCUACAGCAUUCAGUGAACACAGAUGCACGCAGCAUGUUACAUCAACCAAAAGCCCAGCUUGUCCAGCUGGCAUUUGAAAGGGACUUGGCAAGUACAUUUCUCCAGGAAAGAGAAUGAAAUCAGAGACUUCUCAUGAGGUUCAACACAGCACUGAGGAGGCUGCAACUCUUCUAAAUKUGAGGACAUUGAAAAAAACAGAAGUCCCCGUAGUCUGAAGCAAGUGCCUGGCACCAUGAAGUUGCAUUGCAUCAAAACAGUCAAGGACGGGUUAGUGGCAACCAGAAACCUCAGCUGCUACUGUGACUCUUGUCUCCUUGUGAUUGGAGUCUGUCUGAACGGAUUAUAUGUUGAGCAAUGGAGACAGGUGAAACGUCAUAGUCUGCGUGAACUUUGAAAGAGAUCUUUGAAAGAGAUGCCAGAGACCAGAUGACAGUGACCAGAUGAAUAACAGCAUCUC